CUACGGGUGCUCCAGUGGGGAAUAUUGGACAAUGGGGGAAACCCUGAUCCAGCAAUGCCGCGUGUGUGAAGAAGGCCUGCGGGUUGUAAAGCACUUUCGGUUGGGAGGACUGCUUCUAGCACUAAUAUUGUUGGAAGUUGACGUUACCUUCAGAAGAAGCGCCGGCUAACUCCGUGCCAGCAGCCGCGGUAAUACGGAGGGUGCAAGCGUUAAUCGGAAUUACUGGGCGUAAAGCGCGCGUAGGCGGCUAGAUCAGUCGGGUGUGAAAGCCCCGGGCUUAACCUGGGAACUGCAUCCGAUACUGUCUAGCUUGAGUACAGGAGAGGAGAGUGGAAUUCCACAUGUAGCGGUGAAAUGCGUAGAUAUGUGGAGGAACACCAAUGGCGAAGGCAGCUCUCUGGCCUGAUACUGACGCUGAGGUGCGAAAGCGUGGGGAGCAGACAGGAUUAGAUACCCUCGUAGUC
rnacentral:rRNA from 1 species